CUCGUCUGCAUGAUGUUUGACACUGUAGGCGGGGUUAAUUUUGGGCUGGUGUCUCUACCUUCACCUUUGCCCCCGUGGUGAUUUUUACUGAGGCGGCGGAAAACAAAUCUUCAGUCAAGCUGGACAGGGUUAUCGUUCACCAAAUCUUACCUGGGGUUGAAUAGAGUGUGUGCAGUAACAGCGCCCAACAACAUCAACCAAUAUUGUGGAGCCGUUCUCAUUUACAAUGGAUUUGCUCCAUCAGUCGGAACGGAACAGAGCAGAAACGGAGAAUGUGGACUCUACAACUUCGCAGGCAAAAAGGAGCUGGCGGUGUUGGUUUUUCAAAAUAAAGUCAAUUUUAAGGACUUGUCCAUCCAGCCUCACAUGUUCGAGCCAGAGUCUGACCCAGAGGGGGAGGCGAAUGACGACUACAAACUUUCAGAAGCACGCCUUCAAAUUUGUGCAGGAAUGUGAGUGAGAAUGGUGUUUUUCGCUGAAGGAUCUCUGCUGAGGGACGUGGCCAGCAGGACUCAUACCUGUCGGCAAUUUUCCACCUGGCUGCUGGUGAUUAAAGGUUGAAAGUCCUCUGGUCGGCUCCCACACCCAGCCAAGCUCCGGUCAAGAAAGCUCACAGACGCUGUGUCCAGUCCCCCUUCCUCAAUAGCGCAACAGCCCUGCACCCUCGGCGACCACCUGCCUGCCUGCUCUCCAACCAAGUUCCUCUCAGCCGUCCAUCACUCUCAGAGGUCUUCCAGGAUGUUGACGCCCCUCCCACGUUAAACCACAGCAUCUAUUCUGUGAGUUAUUGCACGGGUAUUUAGCAGUACUCUCCAACCAAGUUCCUCUCAGCCGUCCAUCACUCUCAGAGGUCUUCCAGGAUGUUGACGCCCCUCCCACGUUAAACCACAGCAUCUAUUCUACACCACAGAAGCUGUGUGUUUGAGCCUCCAGUUCCCCUCCCUGUGGUAUUUUCCCAUUUGGUGUAAAUAAACCUUUACCUGCUUGUUACCAAUUCUGUAAGUGAUUUCUGCAUGUGAGUCAGGAAACUUCCUAGACCUAUGACAUUAACGUUUUAAACAGUACUGUUGAUCAACAUAAUGCUCUUAAAAUAGAGCACACACCUGCCAACAUAUUGUCUAAUUAAUCAAUAACUUAUCCAG